rnacentral:lncRNA from 12 species
CCCGACUUGAAGCUCAAUCCCAAGACCCGUGAGAUCAUGACCUGAACAGAAACCAAGAAUGGGACAUUCAACUGAAUUAGCCACCCAGGUGCCCUGAACAGUCUUUUUUAGAUUCAGGGAAUAUACCUGCAUGUGCCCAGUGACAGGUAAAACAUAUGGUUACAUGAAGAAGGCAGUGAAAUAUAGAAAUCUGGAAUGUAGGAUGAAGUCAGAGAUGGAGGUAAAAAUUUGGAGGUCAUUAACUGAUAAAUGCAUGUGAUGAAAGGUCAUAGAAAAGAGCUCAGGGAUGAAUACCGGACCAUCCUAACAUUCACGGCAAAGUAAGGUAAGAAGAUGGCAGUUGUGCUGCUAGAGAUGGCAGGGGCAGAGUAGUAGAAGAAGGACUGACUGAAAAGGAAAGGAGGACGCACUUCAGUGAGGUAGGAGGAAGACAAGAAGAGUAUAAUGUCAGAGAAGGUAAGAGAAAAUAGAACUUCAAGGAGGUAAACAGACAAGUAAAGAAAGAAUAUGGUAAUGGUUUCUUGUCAUCUCUUGAAUGAAAUUAACUACUAGGUCAAGGCUACAAAUGGAACCUUCUGCCUUACAGUUGUUUGUUUGUUUUUGUUUUUUCACUAGCUAGUAGAGUUAAAAGGGCUGGUCUGGCCGGUGAGAUUGCAUGGAAUGAGGGGAGGCGACAGUUUCUCAUGUGAAAUGUGGGAUAUUAAAACCUGAGGAGCCAGCACAGCUGAAACCAGUGCCAGAAACUAGAGCCUGAAAAGUCAGAAGGGUGCAUCUGGAUAGUUACCAAGCAGAGGAUGCCAGAAUCAGAUAUCAAAGCUGAGUUAUGGAGCCAGAAAAGCAGAAACUACAAAGACUAGAACAAGCAUAAGCAAGUUGAGAAUAGAUGGGAGGUGUCUGGAACUUCUUUGCAGAUCAGGAUCUCUUACAUAGAUAUGUAUAUAUGUAUCUAACAGCCCAGGUGUAGCAGUGCUGGGUCAGGCUCAGAUUCCCGUCCCCUAAUCCACAUAGGCUCUCUUUUCCAGUUCAGAGGCACUGCCAAUGCUGGAAGAGUACCUGAGCCAAGAUGGGGACUCCAGAAUCAUGGAGGAGUGGAUGAUCCUGAAUGGUCCUAUUCUGAGUCCAACACAUGUUUCAUAGCAUCUUACACCAAAGAUAGGUCCUUUGGUGAAAAGACAUCUGUGCUUUCUUCUUUCUCUUCAAGACUGAAUGUCAUGAUUUAG